rnacentral:rRNA from 1 species
AAAGAUUAAGCCAUGCAUGUCUAAGUACAUGCCGAAUUAAGGCGAAACCGCGAAUGGCUCAUUAAAUCAGUUACGGUUCCUUAGAUAUUGACUGUUUACAUGGAUAACUGUGGUAAUUCUAGAGCUAAUACAUGCACAAAAGCUUUGACCUUCGCUGGAAAAAGCGCAUUUAUUAGACCAAGACCAAUGGGGUGCCUCACGGUGCCCCUAACGGUGGUGACUCUGAAUAACUGUUGCUAAUCGCAUGGCCUAAGUGCCGGCGAUGAAUCUUUCAAGUGUCUGCCUUAUCAACUGUCGAUGGUAGGUUAUGCGCCUACCAUGGUUG